CAGCAGCCACGGUAAUACGAAGGGGGCUAGCGUUGCUCGGAAUCACUGGGCGUAAAGGGUGCGUAGGCGGGUCUUUAAGUCAGGGGUGAAAUCCUGGAGCUCAACUCCAGAACUGCCUUUGAUACUGAAGAUCUUGAGUUCGGGAGAGGUGAGUGGAACUGCGAGUGUAGAGGUGAAAUUCGUAGAUAUUCGCAAGAACACCAGUGGCGAAGGCGGCUCACUGGCCCGAUACUGACGCUGAGGCACGAAAGCGUGGGGAGCAAACAGGAUUAGAUACCUGCGUAGUCCCUGUCUCUUAUAA
rnacentral:rRNA from 1 species